rnacentral:rRNA from 1 species
GAUGAACGCUGGCGGCGUGCCUAAUACAUGCAAGUCGAGCGAAAAGACGAGGAUCUGGCUCCUCUGACGUGAGCGGCGGACGGGUGAGUAACACGUAGAUAACCUACCUCUAUGACUGGGAUAACUUCGAGAAACCGGAGUUAAUACCGGAUAAUAUUUUGAACCGCAUGGGGCAGGAGAGAAUGACGGUUUGGCGGUCGCUUAUAGACGUAUCCGCGCCGCGUUGGCUAGUUGGCAAGGUAACGGCUUACCAAGGCGGCGAUGCGUAGCCGACGUGAGAGGGUGUAGCGCCCCUCUGGGAGUGACACGCGGCACAGACUCCUACGGGCGGCAGCGGUACGGACUCUUGCGCGAUGGGGGGAAGCCUGACGAAGCGGCGCCGGGCGGGUGCUGAAGGUCUUCGGAUCGUAAGACUGUCUUAUUAGGGAAAACCAAAUGUGUAAGUGACUAUGCUCUUCUUGACGGUAGCUAGUAAGAAAGCCCCGGCUAACUACGUG